CGUACGUGCAGUAACAGUCCCACAAAGUCUUAUUUUCUUUUGUAUAUAAUAUACAAUCUUUAUCUACGUACCAAAAACGGACAGGGUUUGAGGGUUUUUUUAACUGCACUGUUGAUGUGGACAGAACUAUUUUCAUACCAGUGGAAAACAUCCAGACCGUAGUUAUGAAACUACGACACAUACUGAUCUUGUCGGUGUUUCUACUUCUGAUCGGCGCAACGUUCAUCUCCGUCGAUGCAUUUCCUGCUCGACACCCGUUUCUAUACAUGUUAAGACAAGCAAGUCGGUCAACAGGAAAUCCUCAUGAGUUCGAUACACGCAAGGCCUGUUGCUGCUGUCUGCUUUGACGAGCUCCAUUCCCCGUCCGUCUUGCCAUCAGGGAUGUGCCGGUUCAAAUCCCAAUAACAGAAUGUUUUCGUUUUAUAUAUACUGUGGUAACAAAUUAACAAUUUAAUGUUGUGAUAUGUUAAAACAAUGAAAACAAAAUAAAAAUACAAUUCAAACGAA